AGAACGAACGCUGGCGGCACGCCUAACACAUGCAAGUCGAGCGCCCAGCAAUGGGAGCGGCGGACGGGUGAGGAACACGUGGGAACAUGCCUUUCGGUUCGGCACAACUGCGGGAAACUGCAGCUAAUUCCGGAUACGCCCUUACGGGGAAAGAUUUAUCGCCGAAAGAUUGGCCCGCGUCUGAUUAGCUAGUUGGUGAGGUAAUGGCUCACCAAGGCUUCGAUCAGUAGCUGGUUUGAGAGAACGACCAGCCACACUGGGACUGAGACACGGCCCAGACUCCUACGGGAGGCAGCAGUGGGGAAUCUUGGACAAUGGAGGAAACUCUGAUCCAGCGAUGCCGCGUGAGUGAUGAAGGCCUUCGGGUUGUAAAACUCUUUACCAGGAAGAUAAUGACUGUACCUGGAGAUAACGCCCGCUACUUCGCGCCAGCAGCCGC
rnacentral:rRNA from 1 species